rnacentral:rRNA from 1 species
CAGUCGCCACGGUAAUACGGAGGGUGCAAGCGUUAAUCGGAAUUACUGGGCGUAAAGCGCACGCAGGCGGUCUGACAAGUCAGAUGUGAAAUCCCCGGGCUUAACCUGGGAACUGCAUUUGAAACUGUCAGGCUGGAGUCUUGUAGAGGGGGGUGGAAUUCCAGGCGUAGCGGUGAAAUGCGUAGAGAUCUGGAGGAAUACCGGUGGCGAAGGCGGCCCCCUGGACAAAGACUGACGCUCAGGUGCGAAAGCGUGGGGAGCAAACAGGAUUAGAUACCCGAGUAGUCCCUGUCUCUUAUAC